CUAGUGGCGAUUGGUGCACACGUGCAUAGUGUGUUCACACUGGACACUGCUACACAGGCAAACGCAAAGUCACGCUGUCUGCUGACUCUGCUUCAAAAUAGUCUUCUUGAUUCACUCACUUUUUUUUUUUUUCUCUUUCAGUCUUGGCCCCCUCAACUUCAGUUAUAGUACAGAACUCUGGGCUGCAAAAAUGGCGACCAAAAAAGGAAAAAGCAAAGGAGUCAUCAUCAAUUUUGCACAUUUUUCAACGAAACAGGACAUCUGUCAGCCUCUGCCUUUUCACUAGCAGAAGCGUAUAAAUACAAUAUGCUGCAGAGUCAUUUGUUUUGAUGGUUGAAGUCCUUUCGAAUCUUGACCAAGUCUUAAUAUCUUCUACUGUCACCAUGCCCGCCUUGAAGAGUGAAGACAAUUUACAAUGAAUCUGCAAACAUGAAAAUAACUACAGAGUUACAUAUUGCAUGGUUUUGAUUGGCCAUUUGUAAGCUUUAACUGAUCCAACUGAAACUGUUGGCAAUUUUUUGGAAGCAAACCAGGAAUUCAAGUGAAAGCAUCAUUUUCGAAGGCAAGAAUGGCAUAUAAUGUGAAUUGUAGGCUAGUCCUUAUACAAUUGAAGAAGGAAGAGGUUCACAAGUUGUGCUUGGGAAGUUGACGGUUUCAAUGGGAGAGAGAAAAGGUGAUGCCAUUUUCAAACUUAAAAAUAAAGUUGAAGUUUGUCAGGAUGCAAUCUUGAAACUGAUUAUAGCUGAAUGCAUUUGACAGUUUAGCUCUGCUACACCCCCAUCAGACCUUACAUCUUAUUCCUAGCUUGUAGUUGAUCUACAAAAAUAAUUGAAUUUCUCAUAUUACAAAUCUUUUACAUCUUUCUAAUUCUCUGUUACUCUUCUAUCACUUUCUGUGACGAAGUCAAAAAAAAAAAAAAAAUCUAAAGUAAGCUAUCCUAUUGCCUAUGUCAUUUAGUUCAAUUUGCUGAACGGGGCUGCAGCUCUGAACAUUGAUUGACUUAGGGCCAAUUUAGUUGUUCCCACUCCCAUAGAGGUUGUUCUAGACCAUCAUUCAUCUCCCAGUUAAAGCCAUCAAUCUCUGGGAGAUCAACAUGGUCUCCUCCCGAGUGAGAAUUUUCAGACGAGCUUGUUUUCUCUACCAUUGUGGCUUUCUGAGAAGAUGUUGCAUCCCUGUUAUCACCAAGCUGUGGUGUCUCUCUUGUUGACAUUUCUGGGCGUCGAUCAAAUGCUCGAAAGCUUCCAGAAACCACAUACACUCGGCACAAACUGAACUCAUGCCUCAACUACAGGAAAUAAAUAGUGGAAUAGGAUACGAUAAUUAGAAAUUCUGUUUAAAAAAAAAAAAAAGUAGAAAACUAUUUUCCAUCUUUGGGAAAAAAAAAAAAACAUAAGCAUGGGACUCAAUACUCAUGUGAGAGAGUGUUAUAUGCAA